GUCCAAGAGACAGACACACCCGUCUCAUUGAUUAGACUGACAGCCCCUGAAGACAGCCGAGACAGACAGACAGAAAGACAGACAGACCCUGAAGACAGCCCAUGAAGAACGCACAGAGAGAGACACUGCCCAUGAGUACAACAGAGACAGAGAGGCAGACAUAUAGGCAAACCAUGAAGACAGCCAAUAAAGGAUGAAGAUCCAGAGUGUGUUGCUGCUGUUUUCUCUAGUGGGUGUCCUGUUAGCAAGCUCCCUCAAUGAAGAUAACUCUAAGGAAGCUCUUCCGGAGGAGGACAAUCUAAAAGGGGAAUAGGCGGCCUUGGAAAAGUUGUUUGGUGAUCUGAAAGCUGAUGGGGUUUCUCAGAAGUCUUUUGAGGAUGCAGAAGAUGAAGCAGCAUCUCUUCUGGAGGAGGACAAUCUAAAAGGUGGAAAUGCAGGCUUGGAAAAGUUGUUGGCUGCUCUGAAAGCGGGUGGGGUUUCUCCAAAGACUGCUGGGAGUGGUGAAGAUGAGGCAGCAUCUGAUUGAGGCGCCAUUUUGAGCACAGUCUCAGUGCUUUUGGGGUGAGGAGUGACCAGAAUGGGGCAACAGAGGUUCCUCUCCAGUCUCCAUACGGAACCCACUAUCACCUCUGACGUCAUUACUUCAUUUAAAUCAAUCCAUUAUCCAUCCAUCAACGAUUGACUAACAAAUACAAACAGUAACACAAUUGUUCAAUACUUCGGUAAUUAGAAGAACUCAUCAACAUUCUGAGGAAUAUAUGUUUUAUUCACAAAUACGCACUUGAUGUCCUGAUUCAUGAUUAGAUUAUUGGUGAAGUUAGUGGAUAAAUAAUGAGGUUUGGAAUUUAUGGUAGAAAUGUUGUAUGGCUGACGUGUCUCCUACAAUAAACUACAAAGCAUUACACAUGUUUAGCAGUGUUUCGAAUCCAUCACACGUUUCAUAAUAUUAUUUUAGUCAAUAUUUGUUACAAUGUAAACAUGACCAUAAUACAGAUGUGGGUGUUAUGAAAGUACAUUUUUGUGGCCACUGUGCAUGCAGAGCACUGAGUGGCAGCAGGCACAAUUGUCUUCAAACAUUGAAAAACAUCCAAGGGUGUUUUAAGGAUAUUUUCCCUUUUUUGACUUAAAGA
rnacentral:lncRNA from 1 species